UGAUCUAGAUUCUACAAACUGUGAAAGC
rnacentral:piRNA from 1 species